rnacentral:lncRNA from 1 species
UUUUUACUUGAGGAAGUUGGGAAGGAGGAACAGUGGGGUUUGAAUUCGAGAUCUCACUGUUCACAUACAAGAGGUCGCACCGAUUGGUGUCCCCUUGGGGACUAUUGCAUCGUAUGUUAGAUCAAUUAGAAAUUAUCUAUAUCGAUAUAUAAAUGUAGUAUUAGUGGAAUUUAGUAGGGGAUCUAUGAUGUUUGUUUUAUAUGGGGUGAUAAUUAUUUUAGAUUAUGCUUUAU